AAAAAACACAAAAAAAAAAAAAAAAAAAAAAAGAAAAAUUGCCAAAUGGCCAAAAUGGCCCUGGCUUAAGCUGCUAAGAAAUGUAUAAAACGAAUUGUUUUCGAUAUUGCGUAAAUGUGAGUGCAUCUGUGUGUGUGUGCUCUCAAAAACAAAAACAAAGAAAGUUGAAAUGAAUUUGUUGCCUUGUUUCCACUUAUCAUGACGUCGUCGUCGUCGUAGUCGUCGUCUCCAGUGUUGUUGUCGUAGUUGUUGUUCUUGUGAAAUUGAAAUCCAAUUAAACGCAGUGCAUUUUCAGCUGGAAAUUGAAGCAAGCGUCAAGUGCAAGCAGCAGCAGCAGCGGAGCAGCCUGGCCACACUGUGACUCCCGAAUCCGCCAAGAUUAGAAUUUACGCUGAAGUGGUGCCGUAAAAAUCUCGUCGCCGAUAACAACAGCGUUGCUAUCGAUCCGUCUACCGUUUAACUAGUCUAACUACGUAGUGAGCGCAAGCCUUUGAAGAAGUUCGUCCCCUUUUGCCAAAAUAUACCAGUGUGAUAGGAACAAAUUUCUCUUUUCAUCAGUUUUUGAAGAAUUCACAUGUUAAGCAGCCGGAGCGCCCGCGACUGGCACCGAAAGCCAACCAAACGCCUGAGCGUGCGCAUAGAAAACGCAUGAACAAAAUACAACGGAUCAGAUAAAAGAGAUAAGAAGUCGAAGAAGAGGCGCAGCAGAAAAAGCAUCUAAAGCGGAAACAGACAAAAGGACUGCGAAAGGCGACGCCACACAUAUAUAAUAUAUAUA